rnacentral:misc_RNA from 1 species
AAGUCGUAACAAGGUUUCCGUAGGUGAACCUGCGGAAGGAUCAUUAACAUGAAGUCGUAGCUCGAAAGGGCUACACUUUCAACCAAACCGCGAACUUGUUUUUUUCACGCUCCCUUACUAUGUGUGGAGAUUCUUUUGGUGGGGUAGACAGCUUCCGCUGGGCCAUUAGAAUCGUUUGACAUAUGUAGUAGGGCCAAGACUACUCUUUGUGUGUUUCUCUUUCGGGAGAGGCAUGCAUAACCUUUUACAUUUUAACCCCUUUAACCCCAUAAUUCUGUUUACAUCUGUCUUAUUUCCAUUCGUAGUCGAAAGACUCGAAUGCCAGAUAUUUAAUGCGAACAACUCUUAGCAAUGGAUAUCUUGGCUCUG